rnacentral:rRNA from 1 species
CAGCCGCCGCGGUAAUACAGAGGGUGCGAGCGUUAAUCGGAUUUACUGGGCGUAAAGCGUGCGUAGGCGGGUUCUUAAGUCGGAUGUGAAAUCCCUGAGCUUAACUUAGGAAUUGCAUUCGAUACUGGGAAGCUAGAGUAUGGGAGAGGAUGGUAGAAUUCCAGGUGUAGCGGUGAAAUGCGUAGAGAUCUGGAGGAAUACCGAUGGCGAAGGCAGCCAUCUGGCCUAAUACUGACGCUGAGGUACGAAAGCAUGGGGAGCAAACAGGAUUAGAGACCCCCGUAGUCCCUGUCUCUUAUAC